UCUUUCUCCCUUUUAACAGGCAGUAGACACUUAAUGCUACCUUUUUCCUGAAAUACUAUCAUAAACAAGGAGCUGCAUGACAAUCCAUUGUCUUCUCAAGCAUCUAAAAAUGAGCCUUGAGAUUCUUCCUUCCAUUCUUGACAUAUUUUUAUAUCCUUUAAGCUGUCCCUUGAUCUAGACAAAAUAUCAGUACUUCUGAUGGCUUUCUCUUCAUGUUAAGGGAUGUCUCCCUUGUAUAAUUGUAUUGUCAUUGCCUUUGCCAUUUGUCGCCCCAAUUUCGAAUUCAACUUCUUUGGUCAAAGAUUCAUGAGAACACCUACGUCUUGGAUCUUUAUGUUCAAUCAGGUGGCCACUAAAGUGAGCUUUUCUUUCUUCUAAUUCUUUUACAAGAACAGGUAGAAAAAUAUCUACUUCCAGAGUCCUAAUCUUAUUCACAAUAGGACAUUUCCGAUCUACCUUGAAUAUUAUAAUCUAACUACUCUUGUCAUAUGCUACCUUGCUUGAUAAAAGAGAAUAAAAAUGCCUAACCUUUUUGUGAAUGCUAGCUUCCACCACAAAGAUUGCUUAUUCUAUGUCUUUUAUUUGAUGCGACACUUAAGCUUUUGGGGCUCUACUCAUCCAAUUUAUCGGGACGAACAGAGGCACUGAGUGCAACAACAAGACAUAGCAACAAGGAUAUGAAAAAGAAAAGUGCAAUUUGAAAGGCUUGUCCAUUUCAUUGAUCCAAU
rnacentral:lncRNA from 1 species